GACCUAAUAACUACCACAUUUACAGGAAGUAUGGUAAUACAUUCUUGUCAGCUGUCUGGGCAAAUCUUCUCUCGCAGAAUUGGAUUAAAAUUUAAUGUAUUUUAUUUCUCACUUCCAACGAUGUCGCAAUUAUUAGGCAGCUAUCAAGUCUCAAGAUAUGACAUAAUUUGAUAGAAUGUUAGUACCAACGCUAUCAGUGCAUUGAAGUCGAGUUCUCGAUACAGGGAGCUGCUGGUAAACUACCGUCGCUAUACAUCGACUAUGACUACAAUCCUACUUUUAAAAACAAACUACAUACAUAUCUCACAUUUGCGAGGACUACUUCAUCACAAGCAAAAAAUCGACAUUGGUAAAUAAAGGUCUGUCUUCUAUAACCACGAUGAAAAGAAAAGCUGGGCGAAAACAUUUGAGACUGCAGAUUGCAGAACUGGAACACUCUAUUUGAAGACAGUGGCUGCUGAGUGCUGAGCUGCAUCAAAUCUAUCAGCAUCAUGUAACUUCGAUCAGGAACAGACUCCAUUUCAUUUCCGACAACUAGCACCUGUUUUCCCUAGACUUACCAAGUAUUAAGUAACUGCAUUAGUAUUAGGUUAAAUUAAAGGCCCUACAUCGAACAAGUCUAACAAUUAAAACUUAAAUGCAAGAGUGCACAAUUUAUCACUAAAUAUCUUCCUCUUUUAAUUCUAAUCAACACACGGUUUCGUCUUUGUUUCACCCAAUCGUGCUGAUAAUCAGUAAUCAUGCACUCUGCACUCUAACUUCGAGAUGUUUCAAAAGGGCUCCCGACGAGUUGAAUUAGAUCAAUAUUUUCUUUUGAUACAUAGAUACUGAUUGGGAGGUUCAUCAUACUAUUCUUGUCACAUGGUAACGAUUAACGAUUAGCUGAUCAGCUUCCAGCAUCGACAGGCCGAAAUCCAUAAAUAUAAUCAGUUGUAAUUUAAUAUUUAUCAUCGUCCGGAUCAUCAUAAUAUUUCAAUUUAAAGUUACAAUUGAACGGUGUUAAGAAAGAUAAUUUAAGAGAAAUGUUUUGAAAGUGCCUGAUUUCGAGUAUAAGAUCUGUACUGAUACAUUAAUUUUCAGAUUGUUAUUAUAGUUUAUUUGUAUUUUUUAUAUUAUCUUAUCCGCACAAGUUCGGAAGCCAUCUGAACGCUAUUGCCAGACACAGGCAUAUAUUUAUUUUGGGGUAUCAUGCUCUCAGAAAUUUCAACUCAGUCCGAUAUUAUAGUUAUACUAACCUGCAUUGCAUAAGGUUAAUUGUCUCGCAGUCUAGUGCAUAAACCUUUUAUUUUGUAUAAACCCUUUAUUUUGAUUGGGAAAACUUUAGUUUAAUGUGGUUACCGUCUCUAAAGUUGGCAUGAUAGUUAAUAAACUCUUAUCUAUUAUGUCACUGAAGAUGACGCCUUGCAACAUGUUUGACGAUAGCCUGUAGAUUGAUAGUUUGAUCUAAGUAUUUACAACAAUUCAUCUAGUUUGAUUGAUUCAAAGGGAAACAAAUUCCUCUCUUAUCUAUUAUGACUAUAUUUAAAUUCAAUCCUGUAAAGUGAUACUCCUUUUUUAGUAAUUUAAA